GGGGGUAUAGCUCAAGUGGUAGAGUGCAUGCUUAGUAUGCACAAGGUCCCGGGUUCAACCCCCAGUACCCCCU
rnacentral:tRNA from 1 species